UACGGAGGGGGCGAGCGUUAUUCGGAAUUAUUGGGCGUAAAGGGCGCGUAGGCGGCCUGAUAAGUCAAAGGUGAAAUCCCUCGGCUCAACUGAGGAAUUGCCUUUGAAACUGCAAGGCUCGAGUCCGGAAGAGGGGGGCGGAAUUCCCAGUGUAGCGGUGAAAUGCGUAGAUAUUGGGAGGAACACCAGUGGCGAAGGCGGUCCCCUGGGCCGGAACUGACGCUGAGGCGCGAAAGCGUGGGUAGCAAACGGG
rnacentral:rRNA from 1 species